rnacentral:rRNA from 1 species
UGGGGAAUUUUGGACAAUGGGCGAAAGCCUGAUCCAGCAAUGCCGCGUGUGUGAAGAAGGCCUUCGGGUUGUAAAGCACUUUUGUCCGGAAAGAAAUCCUUGGCUCUAAUACAGUCGGGGGAUGACGGUACCGGAAGAAUAAGCACCGGCUAACUACGUGCCAGCAGCCGCGGUAAUACGUAGGGUGCAAGCGUUAAUCGGAAUUACUGGGCGUAAAGCGUGCGCAGGCGGUUUGCUAAGACCGAUGUGAAAUCCCCGGGCUCAACCUGGGAACUGCAUUGGUGACUGGCAGGCUAGAGUAUGGCAGAGGGGGUAGAAUUCCACGUGUAGCAGUGAAAUGCGUAGAGAUGUGGAGGAAUACCGAUGGCGAAGGCAGCCCCCUGGGCCAAUACUGACGCUCAUGCACGAAAGCGUGGGGAGCAAACAGGAUUAGAUACCCUGGUAGUCCACGCCCUAAACGAUGUCAACUAGUUGUUGGGGAUUCAUUUCCUUAGUAACGUAGCUAACGCGUGAAGUUGACCGCCUGGGGAGUACGGUCGCAAGAUUAAAACUUAAAUGAAUUGACGGGG